rnacentral:lncRNA from 1 species
AAAGGCUUUAAAAGUUUUUAUUUCAAUUUAAACCUUAGGGUUUACACUCAUUUAAGCUUUGGAUCUUCAAACCAAUAGGGUUUAUUUAUAAAAGGGGUUUAUUGCAUAAAUAAGCUAUCCCAUAAUUUUUGGAUAAUUAUUUGGAGUUGAAAAAGUAUUUUAUUUAAAUAGUUAUAUAGCCCUAAAGGCAUUUAUAGGGCAAAUGUAUUUUUAUGUAUUUUAUUUUGAGGGGAAAUUACUCCCAAAAGUUGAAUCAUGGUAAAACAUGAUUUUACAAAUUACCUGGAAUUUAUUUGGACCAAUUUGGAGUUCAAAAUCAAAAGAUAUCAAAGAAUUGAGAAAAAACAGAAAAAGAAAAGGGCUAAAAGAAAAAAAAAGGGAAAACCGGACCGGCCCGGCCAAAUUGGGCUGAACCGGUCCCGUUCCGCGCGCCCGAGCUGAGCCGACCGGCCCGGUCCACGCGCACGCCCGCACCGAGCUGCUGAC